GGGGAUUUAGCUCAGUGGCAUAGCGCCUGCCUUGCAAGCAGGUAGCCAUGAGUUCAAUCUCCG
rnacentral:tRNA from 1 species